GUCUUGUUGGUGCAGGGACUCGGUCUGCACUGUGGACAUGCAGAAGGAAUCACAUCUACAGGCUUUCCCAAACGCAUGUCACCAUGGGGGUCUUCUUCACAAAUGUCUGGUGGGGCUGGUGUUCUGCAGAAGAUAACUUGAGAAGCACUGAACUCCACUAAGUCCACGAUGCAAGAUCAAGUCCUAAUUCCUCCAGCAGGUCUCUCCGCCUCUCUGAGUUUGUUUCCUAAUCCAUAAAAUAAUAACACCUGCCCUAGCCACUUACUAAGGCUGUUGUUAGUCAAAUGAGACAGAGCUUGUGAAAGCCCUUCGUAAACGCUAAAGCAACACACGUGAGAAAAGUGUUUCCGCAACAGCUCACCGAGAGGUAGGGUAAACCCGCAGGGGUCACGGGAUGGAGUGUCACCAGUGAAACGAAAUGGAAAGUACUCUAACCAAAGCUGUUCUGUGCUGCGCUGGAUAACGAGCAGCACCAGAGUUCCUCCAGCGGUCUACCUCACGGUCAGCGGGACAUAGAGCUGAACGAACACACGAGGCAAACACUUGUACAUUGCCGUGGUGCCAAGACACUGAUGGGAUCCACAGGAACGUCACUUGGGCACUUCUUGUUACUACACAUUUGAUAAGAUGUUUCAACUAGCAAAAAGAGGCCACAGAACCCCAGUGUACCCCACUGGUCUUUAUGCCUCAGCAGCAAGCACCAGGUUCAGUCUGAUCUCCCUAAGAACAGGUGGAAAUGCUACUGAAGCAACUAAAAUGCAAAGAUAACCACUCACCUUGAAGAUCCUAUCCUUCCCAGCAUAGCCACGCAGAAAAACAGGAUGACUACAGGCGUAAGGGACACAGGAAUACAAACUGUCUCCUGACAGAUCUCCUAUAAGCAAGCCCUUUCUUAUCAGACUUGGGUUCUAUUUAACAACAUGAAGAGGCAUUUAAGUUUACAGAUGUAAUCCACGGCAUGGCUUGCAAUCUCCCCACAGAGCUUCGUGAAGCAGGAAGAAAUCAACUGACUGAGGAGACCUAACCCUCACUUCCUAUUUGCCUCUAUGAGCUGUCUAGGGAAGAAAUUCCAUCACGACUACAUGAGAGGUUCCCAGACUUGCAAAUUUUAUGGUCCAGUAAAAUACUCCAAAUUUAGGACACUCACAAGAGAUUGUCAACUCAAUGUUACUAAGGAUAGAACCAGGCUGAGUGGUGGUCCCUGAUGAAACCAGGCUCACAAGUCACACCCCACAGCCAAAGAUUGCUGAAUUUUCAGCACUCGUACUGAAAAAAAGGACUAGCUUUGGAGUCAGAAGUGGACUGAACCCAUCAGCCUGUGGCCUGCUGGCCUGAAGGUGUGGUGUGCAGGCUGGCACGCUGCAGGCAGGGCUCAGGAGCUGCAGGAGCACAGCGGGGCACAACACCAGCAGGGACUCGGGGACGGCGGCUGUCAUUACACACGCAGGGAUCGCAUCCUCACGAGAACUUACCAGUCCUGUGAAGCACCUUCACCGGAGCGAUCAGCGUUUACAACACGACGGUCGACAG
rnacentral:lncRNA from 1 species